UUCAUUUUAUUUUUAUAUUAUUUAUUUAUUCUUCCUUAGUUUCUUGAGAUUAUCAUCCGCUGAGGGUGGAAGGGGAGUGAGCAGACACACUCAGGAGGUGUCUUGAGAUUAUCAUCCGCUGAGGGUGGAAGGGGAUAGAGCAGGCACUCGGCAGGUGUCUUGAGAUUAUCAUCCGCUGAGGGUAGAGCUGAGGGUGGAAGGGGAGUGAGCAGACACUCGGGAGGUGUCUUGAGAUUAUCAUCCGCUGAGGGUGGAGCUGAGGGUGGAAGGGGAGUGAGCAGACACUCGGGAGGUGUCUUGAGAUUAUCAUCCGCUGAGGGUGGAAGGGGAUAGAGCACACACUCGGAAGGUGUCUUGAGGCUCAGGGAGUUAUCAAUUAUAGAAUGUUGUUG
rnacentral:lncRNA from 10 species